GAAAAAAAAAUGCAUAGCUGUUGAUUUUUAUCGAAGUAACGAAACAAACAAACCUCGCUAUCAUUUAUCUUCAUGGUGUGCCACAUUUUUUUUCAUUCAUUCGUUUCGCCACAGAUAGAUGGAGAAUAAAAAAAUAUAUUUUUUAAUUGAAAUGUCAAUAUUUAUCAAGAAACGAAAGAAGAAAAGAGAGAAAAAAAUAAUUUUAAUAAAUUUAUCUCCAAUAAAGUGGAGUCAAACGAAUAACAAAAAAUUAAAAGAUACAUGUUGUGUGACAGACAGAGUAAACAAAAUACCGGCCGGUUAAUAUAAAAAAAAAUCGCCUUGUGCUUUGCAAUCGCGAGCAGUAAUACACAUGUGGUCGAUGGAUGGAGAAAUAUAUAACGAGAAUAAAUUCUUUUAUCAGCUUUCGGCAUGAACUGCUAUGGCAGUGGAAUACGGCAACAAGCACGCGUUCACAAACCUGACGAUAAAUAUAUCAAAAUAUGACGUUUGAGAACAAGUAGACGUAGGUACACAACGAUAAGGAAACAACUGUGAUUUAUCCGAAAUUCAUUUUGAUUGUGACUUUUUUCCUGAACUCCUGGACAAAAAAUUCUAAAAUUGUUACACGCGAACGUGCUUACACUCGAGAUAUUGAAAAACGACUGUUUCUCUGUUUGGCUUGCGUUAUGGCUUUGUUUGGGCCGAAAUUGAAAUUGCAGAGAGAGUUGCCCCCAUGGGCAAACACAGAGAGAGAAAAUUCUAGUCUCUUGUGCCAUGAUAGACGACGCGAAGUAAACAACAAAACGAAAUGUCUUUUAACCAGAGAAAAAGAGAACUGGCAGAGAGUGAGUCAGAAUAAUGACAUCAGGGAUGCAAAAAAAUGUAAGCAUGUACAUAAGAAUUUGGAGCAAAAUGUUAUCUUGACACAUUGCUGCUAAAUGACAAGUGUUUGUACCCAACAAGAAUGGGAGUUAGCAAACAAGCGAUAACAAAAUAUGUAAAAAAAUUUAACAAAAAAUUAUUCUUUGAAAUCGAAUUUGAUGCCAAAUGAACACGAGAAAUUGUGGAAUGAA